rnacentral:tRNA from 1 species
GCCCUCGUGGUGGAAUUGGUAGACGCGAUGGAUUCAAAAUCCAUUGUCCGCAAGGACGUGCCAGUUCGAGUCUGGCCGAGGGCACCA